AUUGAACGCUGGCGGCAGGCCUAACACAUGCAAGUCGAACGAGCGGCGGACGGGUGAGUAAUACAUCGGAAUCUACUCUGCCGUGGGGGAUGACGGAGGGAAACUUACGCUAAUACCGCAUACUAUUGAUUGUGCUGACGUCGGAUUAGCUAGUUGGCGGGGUAAAGGCCCACCAGGGCGACGGUCCGUAGCUGGUCUGAGAGGAUGAUCAGCCACACUGGAACUGAGACACGGUCCAGACUCCUACGGGAGGCAGCAGUGGGGAAUAUUGGACAAUGGGCGCAAGCCUGAUCCAGCCAUACCGCGUGGGUGAAGAAGGCCUUCGGGUUGUAAAGCCCUUUUGUUGGGAAAGCGGUACCCAAAGAAUAAGCACCGGCUAACUUCGUGCCAGCAGCCGCGGUAAUUC
rnacentral:rRNA from 1 species